rnacentral:rRNA from 1 species
CCGAGAAUAUUCGACAAUGGGCGAAAGCCUGAUCGAGCGAUACCGCGUGGUGGAUGAAGGCCUUCGGGUCGUAAACACCUUUUAUGAGGGAGGAAGUAAUUGACGUUACCUCAUGAAUAAGGGGCUCCUAACUCUGUGCCAGCAGGAGCGGUAAUACAGAGGCCCCGAGCGUUACCCGGAAUCACUGGGCGUAAAGCGUGUGUAGAUGGUCAUAUUAGUCGUUCGUUAAAACCCAGGGCCUAACCCGGGAAGUGCGGGCGAAACGGUAUGACUCGAGGGUGUGAGAGGUGCAUAGAACUCUAGGUGUAGGGGUGAAAUCCGUUGAUAUCUAGGGGAAUACCGAAAGCGAAGGCAGUGCACUGGCGCAUUCCUGACACUCAAACACGAAAGCGUGGGUAGCGAACGGGAUUAGAUACCCCCGUAGUCC